rnacentral:rRNA from 1 species
UACGUAGGGGGCUAGCGUUGUCCGGAUUUAUUGGGCGUAAAGAGCGCGUAGGCGGUCCGGUAAGUCCGCUGUGAAAGUCGAGGGCUCAACCCUCGAAUGCCGGUGGAUACUGCCGGGCUAGAGUCCGGAAGAGGCGAGUGGAAUUCCUGGUGUAGCGGUGAAAUGCGCAGAUAUCAGGAGGAACACCGAUGGCGAAGGCAGCUCGCUGGGACGGUACUGACGCUGAGGCGCGAAAGCGUGGGGAGCAAACAGG